rnacentral:rRNA from 1 species
UACGUAGGGUGCAAGCGUUGUCCGGAAUUAUUGGGCGUAAAGAGCUCGUAGGUGGCUUGUCACGUCGGGUGUGAAAGCUUGGGGCUUAACUCCAGGUCUGCAUUCGAUACGGGCUGGCUAGGGGUAGGUAGGGGAGAACGGAAUUCCUGGUGUAGCGGUGAAAUGCGCAGAUAUCAGGAGGAACACCGGUGGCGAAGGCGGUUCUCUGGGCCUUACCUGACGCUGAGGUGCGAAAGCGUGGGGAGCAAACAGG